AUUGAACGCUGGCGGCAGGCCUAACACAUGCAAGUCGAGCGAGCGGCGGACGGGUGAGUAAUGUCUGGGAAACUGCCUGAUGGAGGGGGAUAACUACUGGAAACGGUAGCUAAUACCGCAUACCAUCAGAUGUGCCCAGAUGGGAUGAGCUAGUAGGUGGGGUAACGGCUCACCAAGGCGACGAUCCCUAGCUGGUCUGAGAGGAUGACCAGCCACACUGGAACGUAGACACGGUCCAGACUCCUACGGGAGGCAGCAGUGGGGAAUAUUGCACAAUGGGCGCAAGCCUGAUGCAGCCAUGCCGCGUGAAUGAAGAAGGCCUUCGGGUUGUAAAGUCCUUUCAGCGGGGAGGCGUUACCUGCAGAAGAAGCACCGGCUAACUCCGUGCCAGCCGCCGCGGUAAUUC
rnacentral:rRNA from 1 species